GACGAACGCUGGCGGCGUGCUUAACACAUGCAAGUCGAACGGAAAGGCCCUGCUUUUGUGGGGUGCUCGAGUGGCGAACGGGUGAGUAACACGUGAGUAACCUGCCCUUGACUUUGGGAUAACUUCAGGAAACUGGGGCUAAUACCGGAUAGGAGCUCCUGCUGCAUGGUGGGGGUUGGAAAGUUUCGGCGGUUGGGGAUGGACUCGCGGCUUAUCAGCUUGUUGGUGGGGUAGUGGCUUACCAAGGCUUUGACGGGUAGCCGGCCUGGGAGGGUGACCGGCCACAUUGGGACUGAGAUACGGCCCAGACUCCUACGGGAGGCAGCAGUGGGGAAUAUUGCACAAUGGGCGGAAGCCUGAUGCAGCAACGCCGCGUGCGGGAUGACGGCCUUCGGGUUAUAAACCGCUUUCGCCUGUGACGAAGCGUGAGUGACGGUAAUGGGUAAAGAAGCACCGGCUAACUACGUG
rnacentral:rRNA from 1 species